rnacentral:ncRNA from 1 species
GCAAAAACGAAGAUAAGAAUUAGUAGAAGAAGAAAGUCUUACAGAGAACUGCCGGUUGGUGCGAGGCAGAAGAUGGAAUUCUUUGAACUCAUCUUGGAGUUCUUCUGUUGAACCACCUAGUAGACAGAAGCGGGUAUUCCCGUUAUAGAAUAUAAUGAGUGCAUCUGACAUGACAUUAUAGAGAGUGUUGGAUGAAUAAGAGUGGUACCACGGAAGUAAGCCUUUUCGUCUCUUGA